UACGUAGGGCGCAAGCGUUGUCCGGAAUUAUUGGGCGUAAAGAGCUCGUAGGUGGUCUGUUGCGUCCGCUGUGAAAACCCAGGGCUUAACCCUGGGCUGGCAGUGGAUACGGGCAGACUAGAGGUAGGUAGGGGAGAAUGGAAUUCCCGGUGUAGCGGUGAAAUGCGCAGAUAUCGGGGGGAACACCGGUGGCGAAGGCGGUUCUCUGGGCCUUACCUGACACUGAGGAGCGAAAGCGUGGGGAGCGAACAGG
rnacentral:rRNA from 1 species